rnacentral:misc_RNA from 1 species
GAUGAAGAACGUAGCGAAAUGCGAUAAGUAGUGUGAAUUGCAGAAUUCAGUGAAUCAUCGAAUCUUUGAACGCACAUUGCGCCCUUUGGUAUUCCAUAGGGCAUAUCUGUUCGAGCGUCAUUAUAACCCCUCAAGCUCAGCUUGGUGUUGGGGCCUGCUGCACUGGCAGCCCUUAAAAUCAGUGGCGGCGCCAUCUGGCUCUAAGCGUAGUAAUUCUUCUCGCUAUGGAGUCCUGGUGGAUGCUUGCCAUCAACCCCCAAUUUUUCUAUGGUUGACCUCGGAUCAGGUAGGGAUACCCGCUGAACUUAAGCAUAUCAAUAAGCGGAGGA